rnacentral:lncRNA from 1 species
CUUACAUAUGUGAAAUUAGUCAUUAGAGUUCUAUAGUUCUUCUUUCUCAUUACUCUUCUUUAAAGAAAAUCAGCAGUCAUCUUAAUAGUGGUUCCUGAAAAAUCUUAAUAUUAAUAGGGGGAAUCUUUGGUGAAAUUUUGGAGGGGUGUGUGUGUGUGUGUUUUCUGUUUUCUUUAUUUUUAAGGUCUUAUAAAAUCACUGUGAAUUAGUAAUAAAUGUGUUUUGAUAUGGGGGGAGGAUUUACCCUUCCUUCCCAUAGAUAUUUACUCUAUCUUGUUUAUAGGCAAUAACAUUUUAACAAUUGGCUAGAAUUUUCUUAAUUUAUGUUGAAAUCACUUCAUUUUUCCUGAAUGUACCUGACAGUUUUGAUUAACAAGAUUAUAGAUGAGAAUAUAAAAUAAAACAAAAAUGGUUGUAAGCAUCCAAAUGAUGUUACAAAGUUCACCCCCUAAAACCAACAGACCGACCAAUUCGACACACUGAAGGUCAGGUGUCCUGCUUAUGUACUAACUCAGCUCCAUUUCCUGUUGCCUCAUACAAACUUUUGUUCACACAGCUAUUUGACUUCUAAAUCCUUAGUAGAUUAGAGACAAAUUAGAAGGAGAGUUUAGGUGGGUAGAGCAGCUGCUGAUAAUGUGGUGACAAGGGACAGAAAAGUGUAAGAAGAAAAUUCAAGAGAAAACUUUUAAACAUCCAGUUGAUCUAGGAAUUGCGCAUGGGAGCAAGCAAGUUCAGAGCCAGGACCCAGCUUAUCACUGUGGAACUGCAGAGACCAUAACUUAAUUUUAACAAUAGUUAAAACUCAGUAAUAAAGGAAAGGCAAGGAUACAACUAGAGUGUACUUUUUUAAGAAAGCAAAACAUGUUAUUUAAUACAAUUUCCAAGUGAAAUAAUAAAAAUAUUCUAGUCUUCAAGGGAUAAAGUUAUCAAGUUAUUGGAUGACUCAUCCCCAGAUGUUUCAGAACAACUUAUUUUUAUUGUAAUUUUUUAAGCUUUUGCUCACUUUUCUCAUCACUUGGAAACAGUUGCUUCUUUGCAAGUAUUAGGCCAACAUUAGGGCUAUUCCAUUAAUAGUUCUGCCAUAGACUCAUACCACACAGACAGUUAAAGACAAGAUUGUAACUGAAUUGUCCUAUUCUUGUUUUCCAUGGAUAUUCAUCCCAGUAUCCACUGUUGGCUAAUAAAUAUCUUGCAUUGUUUCUGUACAUCUAGUGCUGUUGCUGCCUUGUGGAACUUGCUGGUGUAUUCUUUAUGGCAAAGAGCAGAUCAUGGUUAAGAAUUAUCUGGUUGCAGAGCUUAAUCUUAAAAGUUAAAAUUGGGGGACCUAGCAUCUGGGAGUUGAAAACAAUACUGACUAACUGCUGACACAGAACCCCCGAAAUCUCUAUUAUUGCAGAAAACAAAUCAGAAACAAACUUAACAAAAUCCAGUUGGUUGUCAAUGAACCUUUAUUUAUUUAUAUGUGGUGCUGAGAAUUGAAGCCAGUGUCUUACACAUGGGAGGCAUUCACUCUACCACUGAGCUACAACCCCAACCCCAGUUGGGGUUAUUCUUGACCGGUUUAAGUGCCCUUCUUCCUACCCUUGUUCCUUAAGUUUUUCUUCUGUGAAAGUUUCACUUUUGCUAAUGCCAAUCCCCUUUUACCCUUCCCUCUCAAAAUUUCCAUUUCCCUAAUAAGUCUGGAGGUUGUUCUGCUUACUCGUCGCCUCCCACAGCUCCUUGGCCAUGGUCCAGGGCUGGUGGGUGGAGCGCUGUUUGCCAGGGACUGUCUGGGUCAGAAGUGGCUGAGCUGAUGCUCAGCUGGAGAGACAGACACCCAGUCUCCAGCUGCAUGGCUAAGAGAUAAAGGCCUCUUUCAGCGCCCCCUCUCUUCCUCCUCCUAGAUGGAUAAGGGAUCACAGCAGUUUCUUUCUCCAUUUCUGUUCUUUGCCCACCCAUCACAGUCCGCUGUCCCCUUCUCUGUACUGUCAGCUUUCCAGAUGGAGUACAGGGACAGAGAAUUGGGGAGACCCAUCAUUUGUGCCUGGAAACUACACAGGACCUAAAUAUAAAAAGGAAGUGUCCCAUCCAAGCCAAAAUGUCCUCAGUGUCCUCUUGUCAAAGUGUCAAUUUCCACUGAAUUUCUGUAGACAGAUUGUCAUUCCAUUGCUCUUGGAGACAAGGUCAGCAAUCCCUCAGUUAUUGCUGAGGAGGCUCUUUCUCUUCAGCAGACUGAUUUUUUUGUUUUCCACACUGUUCCCCUUGUUCCAAUUUCUAUUUUUCUUUCCCCUUUCGCCGCCUGCUCUCUGCUGUACCAACUCAGCCUCCUGCACUCCCGGGGCACUUUCCCAGCCCCUCUGCACCCUUUCCCAUUGGCCCGCACCUGCCGCACGCCCCUCCCACCGCCACCCAUCCCCCUCCCCAUCUCAGUCUUUU